AACGAACGCUGGCGGCAUGCCUAACACAUGCAAGUCGAACGAGACCUUCGGGUCUAGUGGCGCAGGGGUGCGUAACGCGUGGUAACUUGCACUUAGGUUCGGUAUAACUCCCCGUAAGGGGUGUUAAUACAGGAUAAUGUAUUCGGACCAAAGAUUUAUCGCCUUGGGAUGGGCGUGCGUUGGAUUAGCUAUUUGGUAGGGUAUAAGCGUCCCAAGGAGUCGUUCCAUAGCUGGUGUGAGAGGAGGAUCAGCCACACUGGGACUGAGACACGGCCCAGAACCCGACGCGAGGCAGCAGUGUUGAAUAUUAGGCGCUGGACGAAGGCCUGAUCCAGCAGUGCCGCGGGAGUGAUGAAGGCCUUAGGAUUGUAAAGCUCUUUUUCCCGAGAUGUUAAUGACAGUACCGGGAGAAGAAGCACCGGCUAACUCCGUG
rnacentral:rRNA from 1 species